rnacentral:tRNA from 2 species
GUUUUAAUAGUUUAAACAAAACACUGGUCUUGUAAACCAAAAAUAAGAUACCUUUUAAAACU